rnacentral:rRNA from 1 species
AGUGAACGCUGGCGGUAGGCCUAACACAUGCAAGUCGAACGGCAGCACAGUAAGAGCUUGCUCUUACGGGUGUCAAGUGUCGGACGGUUGAGUAAUGCUCCGAAUUCUUCUUUUUCGUGGGGGCUAACGCAGGAAAACUUCCCCUAAUACCGCAUCCGACCUACGGGUGAAGGCCGGGGUUCUUCGGCCCUUGCGCGAUUGAAUGAGCCGAGGUCGGAUUAGCUAGUUGGCGGGGUAAAGGCCCACCAAGCCACCGAUCCGAAGCUGGUCUGAGAGGAUGAUUAGACACCCUGGAACUGAGAAAGGGCCCAGACUCCUGCGGGAGGAAGCAGUGGGGAAUAUUGGGCAAUGGGGGAAAGCCUGAUCCAGCCAUACCGCGUGAGUGAAGAAGGACUUCGGGUUGGAAAGCCCUGUUGUUGGGAAAGAAAAGAAGCAGGUUAAUACCCCGCUGUACUGACGGUACCCAAAGAAUAAGCACCGGCUAACUUCGUG